CGUCAUACCGUCAGCAGCAGAGAGAAAUGACAGCACUAACCUUUAUGAAGAUCAUAAAUUCUGUGAUACGGCGACGAUCCCGCGGAGUGUGCAAAGAGGGACAGGGAAUCAGUAGCCGACAUAUAGGACGGGAGUGUUCAUCAGUGAAUCCUGACUAAACAAUGUCUCAAUGAAGUAUAAUCACGCUUUAUCAUACACAAACGAAAGGAAACUUCAAUAACUUAUGGACACACAAGGGAAGACCAUGGCGGACAGAAGAGAGGGGACCUCGAGACAACUGGGGAUUAUAAGGACGUCGUGGAGUCAAGAAGUUUAUAAGGUGUUAUGCACUCGAUAUUUUUUACUUUAUUAUCUUAAAGACUUGUCUCUCGUUUAUAAAUUAUUUUAAAUUACACACGCAUCUUAUAACUGGCAUAUCUUCCAGUCUCACACGACAUGCAUAAUACCGUUUCUAAAGGUGUCCAUUGCAAUGAAUCACGAUAACGUUUGAAUUGCGAAACUGAAUAGCAAUUGCAUGUACACGAUACGGUAAAAUAGUUUAUUGGCUAUCUGUAAUGGAAUUGUUUGACUGAGUUAUUAGCUUAAUCAUGUGAUAAUUAUUUGCAUGAACCCUUACUGUUGUAUUUUGGUUCGGGGUACCUGUAAUUAACAAAACAUACGACCAUUUUCAACUUAUACAGUUAAUUUUUAUUGAAAAAUUGUUACUGGUAUCUGCUGUUUUAUACCAAAAAAUAAAGAUGAUCAGAUAAUACAUGUACCAAACAUGUCUGGUGACAUAGUCAGUCUUGAGUAAGUUUUCUCGUGAGGACUGAGAGAAGUUUCACAAAUCUGGUUCUAUUGUAAAUAGGGUCGGUUAAAAAGGUACAUGUACAUGUAUGCAAAUGAAUUCUAAUCUCGUCAUCUUAGAACACUUUAUUCCAAGCAUAUCAAUUAGAAGCAAUUUCGAAAUAAGAAUUUUUUUUAUGGAAUAUCAGACUAAAACGUCCCGGAAUGUCGAACGUUCAUUGCUAAUAUCUGACGAGAAAAACAAGAUCAGUGCAGAGAUAAACAAAACAAAUUAUUAUACAAUCAACAUAUAUUUCUUAUGAAUUAAAUAUUGAGACGAAUGGUGUGUUAUCAUAAAUUCUGUUUUUAUUGUCCUUAUCUUUAAAAAAAAAAGAGAUACAUUCUCCAUUUCCGUCUAUCAAUGUAAAUGGCGGCAACAAUAUACAGACGCGUGCAUCAAUAAUGCAGUGUUUUACCGGUGCAGUUGUCAUGUUUCGCCUUUAAAACAAAUAUAUGUCAAUUGAUUUCAUGCAACAAUGUUUUUUUUAUUGUAUUGAAACUGAAAAAAAAAAAUCCUUCCUAUUUGACAACAAUAUUUCCUUGGUAUUAAAUGUUUUCUAAAUUUGAUCAGAUUUCUGUUUAUUGCUAGGUUACCCACACAAAGUAUGCAAUUUAACUCCAUUGAAAGAGAGCAAUCUAAGGAAAAGAAAUUUGAAUAGACAAACAACAUAUUUUAAGAUAUUCAUCAUUUUCAACACUUUCCCCAAUUUCAUAUCCCUGAAAGAGUGUAUGACGAUACCUGUAUACCCUAAUUAAUCUCGACUACUUCUGCAAAGGAAAUAAUUUUUUUUUUCAAAUACAGAAAACUCGGGUGAAAUCAACAAAUGCCCAGUAUAUCACAAACAAAUAUUAAGAGUAAUUUCACAAUUCAAACCUAAUGGCAACCUUCCAAUUAUCUGACAUAGUCAAGCUUAUACUCGACGUCGUUCAUCUGAAGCUCCAGAUUUAUUUUUCAUUUCAACAUAUGUUUAUCACCAUUUACAUUUGACAUGCUGAUGAGCCCAGAGCUCAAAGUACAUAGUAAUAAAGAAAAGAAUAUGAUACUUUUGGGGAAGUACUAAUGUAUAAUUUAUUUAAAAGAAGCAGUCUCGUUGUAAAUUAUAUCGUUCUCUGACCACGCUAAAUAGAUUGUUUUGUACUAUCAACACAGGGGAGGAAUAUCUAUUUAUAGUGACAAUUACGAUUUCUGCAAGAUCACUUGAGCCCCAAGGUUAUUGAUUAUUAAUUUGUAAAAUGAAUGCAAGGAAAUGUUUGCAGUUAUAUUAUCUUCUUGAAGUCCGUAGAAGUGAUGUUUGCCUUGUAGGAUCAGCAUUUAAAAAUGUGUAUCAAAUUAAGGAAUGUUUACGACAAUUAGUAAAUUAGAUUAAGUUGGUUUGUUAGUGUUAGGUUGGGUGAUGAUAUAUUAGUAAAUAUUCAGAAGCGGCCAAAAAAAAAAAGAAAAAAAAAAAGACAACUAGACCAAUCAUAAAAUAUAAAAACAAAGCAAAGAAAACAAAACAACUUAAAAAUCCCUAAGGGUGUCCUCUUUAUUUAUUAUUAUUCUUUUUAAUUAUCAAACCAAUAUGGAGUAAGCGGUCGUGGAGGCUCGGUGGUUAGAGCGUUCGCUGCGUGACUGGUUGGUCGUAAGUUCGAGCCACGCUCCUGCCUUGACCAUGGGUAAAAUAGGUAGUGGCUGUUCCUUCGCCAAGUGGCAGAUGGAUUAGUAUUCCAUAUCAUGAAAGAUUUUGUGUUUUGUGUAACGAAUCAAAAAUUGCAGACGAAUUCCAUCAUAUAUUAGAAUACAGUGCUUUGUCAAAUAUUAAAAAAGAGUACCUACAUAGUAGGUACUACACGAGGCCUAAUAUUAUUAAAUUUCAUGAACUUUUCUCUUAUAUUUCUUUUGAAAUUGACAUUGCUUUCAUCAUGCAAUAGAUCCAUUUUUGUUACAAACUAGUUCAAUUCGGUUUUCUAGUACCACCUGUCGGCAGAAUCAUUACCAAAUAUGGAGUGUCAUCAAGGUCAAAGGGUGCAUUGACUAUUUCAUUUUUAAAAUGUAACAAAUGGGUCAACCAUAUGAUAUUUUAGAUCUUAAUUCUAGUUUAUAUUUUUAAUAAUACAUUAAAAUAUAAACAAUAAAAUGUUUCAUUGGGUGAUGAAGGUAGCAAUCAUUGCAAAACCCGCUUAACGCGGGUUAUGCAUUUUUUUCUGCAACGCUAGCUACCUUCAUCACCCGAUGUAACAGCAAAGAAAGCAUUUUAUUGUUUAAAUGUCAACAAGUAAAUUUAAAACACUUUAAAAAAAAAAAAACUCUGUAUAUUUAUCCCAAAAAUCUAUGAGUUAGUCUGUCCUCCUCAACAUAUUUUGUAAAUAUUUUUUCACUACAUGUAUAUUUAUAUUUGUACAUACUCUGACCUUAUUCGUACUCAAAUGUAUUUUUAUCUAAUGUACCUUAUGUACCAUAUAUAAUGUGGUUUGAGCGAAUAAAUGAUCUUGAACUCAGAAUUUAAAAGUGAAUUGCAAUUUUUUCGGAUGAGAUCUUAAAAUCCAAGAUCUUGUGUCGUGGCAGGUGUUGAGAAAAAAAUUACAAUGCUACGGCCUUGAGGUCAAAGUUCGUGGCACUUCACCUACAGUUUGUGACCUCUAGGGUAUACGAAGGCGGUCCUGAGGACAUGCGAUGUACACACUAGUAGGUGCAUCAAAUAAUCGAGUCUUGCAGCCAAAUCCAAAUCGCAAUAUCUGAAUGUGCAGUAUGUUUCAUAUUUAUCUAUUUUCAGCAGUGUGUUAUUAUCAACGUGAGGUAUAUAUAUAUCCCAACAAGCAUGGAAGGACCGAUUUUAACGACACGAGUAAUGAAUUAUGAAUAAACGAUUUUGAAUAUUGGAUUUCACAAAUCAAAUAAUUAACAUCAUUUACCGACUUUCCAGGCACUUGACCAGUGUGUAAAAUUUGAAUAAUGGCCAGUGAUCAGUGGUCUGGCAGACAGAGAUAUAAGAAGCAUAUGCACUAAAACUGCUGUCCACCAAUAUCUUAAAUUCUUUAUAAAAUUAUAUGCCAUUUUCCAUGACGCCAUGAUGCCCGGAACUUACGUCACACUGCCACUGUAUAGGAACGGAAACUGUGGAACAGUUUGGAGAUGUGUCACGAUUUUUUGCUCCACUUAGAAAUAUGUUCAAUUUCAUUUUUGAAAAUACACGAGGAUAUGGACUACAACAUUGCACCCCGGAAUACUUUUCAUGAAGCGCAUAACAUAAUUACAUGAAAGUUGUAUGAAAUAUAUCUUUAUAAAUUAUUGUUCUAAGAUAAUUUUGAACUUUACACAAUCUCCUGAUUUUGGAAAUACAUGUAUUUGCCAAAACCUUAAUGUAUAACUUAAUUACAAUUUUUAUGUUAUAUUUUACAAGAAGAAAAAUGUAACUCAGAAUUGAAGAAAAAUGUCUUUAAUAGAUCGGGUUAUUGGGUAAUUACACCUUAAAAUCAGGUCAUUAUACCCUUGCCAUUUCUUUCUAUCAAACAAAGAUUCAUCUUUUAUAAAUUCUUGUUUCUUAUAGAAAAUGUUGAAAUUGCCUUUGUUAAGUAAAACGAGUUUGGUUAAUACACGUUAAAACUUCAUAAUUUAGAAAAUUUUGCUGAAUGCAAGUAUGGAAACCGCGAACGCUGGAUAUCCAUGGUGUGGGUGGUGAAUCAUAAACUUAUAAACAGACAAUUUCUGAAUAGUUUGUAAAAAUUCAAACCUUGAUGCAAUAAAAAUAAAGAAAACGGUAUUUUCCCCAUACAAGUUAUACAUGUAGGUGCACAAUAUUACACAAAGUAACUUCAUUGACCGACUUUGACCUUGAGAUGAUGACACAUUGACCGACAUUGACCUUGAGAUGAUGACAUAAAAACGAAUUUCCAUACACUCAGCCAGAGUGUAAAAUUUGACAUUGGUCGAUGGGAUGUCAGAAGAUUAACAGAGCUGUACAAACAAAAAGUCAAGACCCCGUGUCACUGCCACGACCUUGAGCGUCACGCAUCACGACCAGUGUUCUCGAAUGGGGUGUAAAAGCAAUAAACAGAAACAAAAACACCAAUAAGAUAUCCAACGUAUUAAUAUUUGGAAAAACUUCAAAACUAAUAAGAAUAUUUUUUAAAUCGACUGCAUGAAAAGGAGGGAAUUCUUAUUUUCCUUUUACCUUUUAUAAACGGUCAAUGUUAUCAUUCGAUAUCAAUGCAGUGAACCUCUCCAUACACACAAAGAAGUUGAAGAUUACGCCAGUAAGCAGAAUAUAAAAAGCACUGUAACAUACGAAAUUCCAUGAUGUUGAUUCUAAAUUCAGAGCGUUUGUAUCGCAGUGUGUACAAUUCGACAGCGUGAUGUCGCACGGGGUCGUCUGAGGAAAAUAUAGCUAUUGUCCAUUAUGCAACACUGAGCAGGAGAACCUUGUUUUCAACAAACUGGUGAGUAGUAUUGCGGAUUUUACUCAGCGUGAAGAGGCAACUUGAAAAGUACGGACACGUUAGACAGAUUUAGAAGACUACACGAUUUGACACACCACAAUAAAGUGACGGAGGUCUAGAUAGUUACGUCAUACAUGUAGACAUCGAGCAAUUGUAUAGAAUCAUUUCAGCUAAGGUAAACAUAUACAUGUAUGCAAAAUAAAAUUCUGUAUGUCACCGAAACUCCUUUUCCCAUUCCUUUGGUUUCUGAAAUUUCUCCAUCCAAAAGACCACAUUGUAUAGUGUUGCAUGCAAUCUGCCUGCAUGGUUUCUUUUACUGAGUCUCAGAAAUGUUCCACAGACCACGUGAACAUAACGUGAUCUAGAGAGGUCAAAACAUGUUCCAGAGGAACCAUACCAUAUUUUAGAGAUGACACAUCAUGCUCUAGAGGGGAUAUGGUAUGCCCAAGAGGGGACAUAAUAUACUCCAAAAAGGACAUAUCCUGCUGCAGAGUGGAUACAUCAUGAUUUAGAGGGGAUACAAUAUGCUCAAGAGAUGCUGCACACUGGAAAUAACAUGCCUCAGAAAGGGCACAAUAUACCCCAUAGGGAACACAAUAUACUCCAGAGGGGACAUAAUUUAUUCCAUAGGAGACAUAAUAUAUUCCAUAGGGGACAUAAUAUACUCCAUAGGGGACACAAAAUACUCCAUAGGGGACAUAAUAUACUACAUACGGACAUAAUAUACUCCAUAGAGGGACAUAAUAUACUCCAUAGGGGACACAAUAUACUAUAAGGGACAUAAUAUACUCCAUAGGGGACAUAAUAUACUCCAUAGGGGACACAAUAUACUAUAGGGGACAUAAUAUACUCCAUAGGGGACAUAAUAUACUAUAGGGGACAUAAUAUAUUCUAUAGGGGACAUAAUAUACAAUAGGGGACAUAAUAUACUACAUAGGGACAUAAUAUACAAUAGGGGACAUAAUAUACUACAUAGGGGACAUAAUAUACAAUAGGGGACAUAAUAUACUAUAGGGGACAUAAUAUACUAUAGGGGACAUAAUAUACUCCAUAGGGGACAUAAUAUAUUCCAUAGGAGACAAAAUAUACCCCAUAGGGGACAUAAUAUACUAAUGGGGACAUAGUAUACUUCUGAAGGGAUCUAACUUGCUCUGAACUGUACAAUCUCUCGACUCAUCACUUCAAGCUUGCAACGUUCUUUACAUAAUUCAGGCUACACGAUGUCUCACAGAGACCAAAAUGUAUGUACUACUGUGUACCUUGAUAAGGUUAAGAUGGUGUAUGUACACCUCAAAUUAGUUAUUGAGUUAGUAACCGGAAAAAAAUACUAACAAAGUAAGACUAUAUAAAGCGUCAGUUCAAUGGACAUAAUUUCAUUGAUAACUAACUUUUGUUGGGGAUUGUCUUCAAUACACACGAACAUCACACAACAGAAUACGAUUCCAGUCAACUCUGAAAAUACACUGUUUAGCUGGUUAUUAGAAAUUGCAGACUAGGGUUCAUUAUCAAAUGCAACAGAUAGCCAUUUUCACAAGAACCUAAAGAACCUACGAGUUGACAGAUUCCGAUUCUUUAUUUCCUUAAGCUAUACAUCUCAUCGGUUAUAAAUACAAAAUGUUUACAAAUAUAUACAAAUAAGAUAGUAGAGGGUGAGUAGACAUACAAAUACAAUUUUGAGGAUAUAAAAUUAAUGCAUUUCAAGAUACAUAUAACAAUACACGUGAAUAAUAUGUCGUAGCAAGUACAGAAUUCAUAAAUUACAUGAAGAUCGAAAGUUUGUAGCCUGUUGUAGGAACUUUCCUAAAUUAUUGAGUUUUUUUUGUAUUAUUUACAUGUACACUAAGAAGUUUUACUAAUUUUAAGACACUGGGUUUCUUGUAAUAUUGUUGUUGUUGAUAUAUUUAAUUCUUAAACCGUUAUGAAAAGGAUAUCUUAAAAAUAAAAUUAAAUUCGUCUUCUAACUCGUUUAGGUUACAAAAUGUACAAAUUCUAUUACUUCUUGAAAUAUUUUUAUGCCUGCCCUUCUCAAUGUUCAAAGAGUGUGAAGACGUCCGAAAUUUUGUUAUAUAUUUCUUUCCAUUGGGAUCAAUGACAAAGUUAGCAGUAAAUUUAACUGAUUUCAGAAAAAAAAAGAAAAAUGUUGAACUGUCUUAGCCUGACUUAUUGAACGGUCCUCGUACUGUUCACUUGCAAAACGGUUUGUAAUUGUAAUACACAUGUGUAUUCCAAUAAACGUACAUUUAUUGCUGGAAAAGUACAGAGUACUUAGCUAAAUAUACUACAAUUACAAAUAUACAAAGAGGACACUCGUCAGAGGAAACAACACUAGCAAUUAAGGACACUUGAUAAAAAUAAAUAAAUGGAUGCAUGGGUUGAUUAUAUAUAUUUUUGAUUAGUACGGUUGCAUUAAGUACAAACAUAAAAUUCCUUAAAUAUAAUAAUAAUAAGGAACUAGUAAAUUCCCUAUGAUGUUCUAAAGUUGAAAAUAUAUUACCCCUCUUUAUAUAACUCUAUACAAAUUUUCCUCACUGUUUUGGACUGAAGAAAUCAUUAAAUAAAUUAAAUUCCACACGGUAAAUUGUAUCAUUUUACUUAGAAAACAGUUUUUCAUUUUUGAAAAAAAAAAUGAAAUAAAUGUCGUUAAGUUCAAAGUGGAUAAAGUACGACAUUCAUGCGUUCAGGAAUACGUGGCAUCAUAUUCACAUUUGGUAUAAGAAAAUUAUGCAAUCUAAUGUCCUCUUUCAAAGAAAAACGACAGAUCCGCUUACUGAUGACACACGCUCAUUUUUUAGAAAUUUCCAAAUCCUUAUUUAUUUUUUUAAGAAGAAAAAAAAACCACUUACGAGGUUUCCUUUUUAGACAAUAAAACAACAAUUCUUAAAACAUUUGAACUAUCUUUUAAAAAAACAACUCCCCUAGUUGUUUGUCGGGUUUUCGUGAAGAAGUACAUGUUCCUCGCAAAUAUUGAGUGCAAAUUAGAAACUGCAAUACUGGGUACACAUAGUACAGAGAGUAUAGAUCUUGUGACGUGGUUAGAAGGUGACCAUUCAGUAGUUGAAUUAGAGUACUCGCCCAAUUACCGGCAGGUCCUGGAUCGGAGCUCCAACCCAAACGGACGUGUUGUAAUAGCGACUGAUCCAUAGCCAAGCGCUCAACUUUAAUGAGACCUAAGUCCGAUGCCCCUAUGUCGUAGUAUGCAUUAUGCACCACUUCUUUUUUUUUAUUUUGUGCUGAUGAACAUAAUAUGCAUGCAUUAUUUAUAUAUUUAUACCCUUUGAAAUAUUGUUUAUAUAAUUACAAAAUCAAAGUUAUAUACCUCAUGUACCAUUGUGAACGGUUUGAGCGAAUAAAUGAAAUGGAAUGAAAUAUCUAUAUGGCACGCCAUAUUUAUAUCUAUUCCUCUAUAAAGAUAUCUUACCGGUAUAUAAUUUAUGAGACAUCUUCUACUCUCUUUUUUUAUAAUAAAUUAUAAAUUUUUAUAAGAUAUCUCAUAUAGUUUACAGUUUAUAUGAUAUUUUAUAACAUAUAUAAGAUAUCUUAUAAACUAUAUAAAAUAUCUAAUAAACUUUAUAAGAUAUCUUGUAUAUUAAACAUGAUAUCUUAUGAAGGUUAUGAAAUAUCUUAUAGAAAUAGAGGAUAUCUUAUAAAUUUAUUCUUAUAAGAUAUAAUAAGAUUUAUAGAAUUAACUAUAAAUCCAUUUAUUUUAGCCAGACUUAAAUAUAUUUUAUUUCUGAGGAUUUUUUCGAAAACACUAUUCCGGAAUCCUACCGGAAAUAAGUUGGCAAAUAGAAUAGCAUUUCCUUUUAUGACGAGGCAAUUUCGGGAGAACGGUGAGAUAACAGUCGAGACAACAUUUUGAUUUCCCUUCCCACCCAUCCCAAAAAGUUGUAAGAAUAUGUACUGCGGAAAAUGUUUUCAAUUUUUCAGGUGAGCUCGAUUCUUGGAUAUAGUUCUGGUUAUGGGAAAAGAAACAAAUACAAUGGAGUGUGUUUGAAAAGACUGUCUUGGCAACUUGGGGCCAGAUAAAGUACAUUUUUGAUUACGGAACACAAGAAGAAUGCGCGUCUGGUUCCUGUGAUUGGACAUUGAAUGAUUUGAUUGGACAAUAUUAAAAUACAAGUUUGCACGGGGAUAUGGUAACAAUUGAGACAUGUGAAUUGUUCCAAGGGCUUAUCUAAAGAGGACAACAGGGGCAGCAACAGCAGGGACACCACUAGCCAACUUUCAGAAGGGGGAUCAGAAUUAUGUGUGUGCUCCAUCCCCAUCCCAACGAUUUUCAUAAGAAAGUCUGAAAUCUCCAUCUCCAUUCUCAAGAGUUUGCAUGGGUUCUGUUACGCAGGAUUUAUUUUUUAUGGAAAUAGACCACUUUUUAUCAGUCGACUACACCACUGGGUACUAUUUGGAAUCGUUUACUACGGGUUCAAUGUGUCGCAUAACUAUAAAAUUAAGAUUAAAAACAACAACAGCGACAAUGACCCUGGGCAUUGUGGGAAAAUGUCAUGCUUAAAGAGGCAUUAAAUGCCUAAGUUAUAUCUCGAUUAUUAACAAAUUCGCUAAAACAGCUUUAUAUUUUAUAAAAAUCUUCAAUGGCUUUUCAAAAUUUAUACAUCCUGCAACUUUUUGUUAUAAUUUUGAUUUAAAAUAUGCUUUUAACAGAAUCAACAUGGAAGUAAUUUCAUUUAUUUUGGAGGAACAUUCACAAAAAUUUAUCAAAGGUCGCAUUGUUUUCCGCCUCUGAAAUUUAUAUUGCUUUAUUUCAAACAUUCUCUAAAUUUCUAACCAUAGUUCAAUUCUUUGUUUUAUAAAAAGCUAUAACCCUCCGGUGGACAACUAAUACCCCUGUAAACCUCUGGAUCCACACAGUUGCACAAAGGUUUGUUGACUUGAUUAACUAGACGUUAACUCUCAGUUAACUAAGUCUUGUACAGCCGUGUCCUGAUCAUGGCAUUUACUGAUAAGUUACAAAUCCUUUAAAAUCAUUCUGAAAAUUUAUUCAUUAAAAAAUGAUUAUAGAAAUGUGAAUUUCUUCCUUUUACGUGUUUACAAACACAGCCCCUUCUGUGGGUUCCGUGCUAUUAUCGACGUGUUCAAUGCAAAAGGCACCAAUCAUUUCAAAUGUAACAUCCUUUGGCGGAAAUGGGCAAUUACAUUUAUGAAUUAAGCAAUAAAAGCAACAACAAAGAUUUGAUUUUUGUCGAUUAUCCUGUCUGACUUUAAGAAAUCGAUUUUAACAAGUCUUUAUAAACCAUUGGUUAGAUUUGAAUAACAAAUUCAUAAAUGUAGUACACAUCUCCUAACGUGUACUAUCUGUAUUAAACAAGUCGGUAACAACAAUUCUUCUUUCCAAAGAAUGUCAUAUUAAUGUAUAAAAUAUCCAUUUUUAAGGACGUAUAUUAAACACAGUGCUUUGUCACGACAUAUAUAAAGUAAACAUAGACAAACCACAUAUAGAACAAUUUGUACAAAUUUGCGAUGAUGAAUUGUAAUUUAUUUACACCAAGUAUUACAUGUAUAUUUACAUUCUGUUUUCAUGGCUAUCGGAAUUCCCAGGCGUAAGAAUAGACGUACUAUAUUUAUCUGUAUUCAUACGCGCAAUACUUACAAAUACAAUGCAUCCAUGAGGAAAUGGCUAUCAUUACAAUUUUUAGAGAUAUCAAAGGCGAAAACAUUGGGAAUGUUGAUUUGUUGCUUGAUUGAUUUACAUUUAUUGUCAUUUUAGAUUGAUAGAUUGAAUAUUGUUUUACGUCCCUCUCGAGAAUAUUUCACUCAUAUGGAGACGUCACCACUGCCGGUGAAGGGCUGCAAAACUUAGCUUGGCUCUUAUGACCAUUGAGCAGGAAGGGAUUAUUAUCGUGCCACACCUGCUGCGACACGGGACCUCGGUUUUUGUUGUCUCAUCCGAAGGACCACCCCAUUUAGUCGCCUCUUACGACAAGCAAGGGGGUACUGAGGACCUAUUUAACCCGGAUCCCCACGGAAUUAUCAUUUUAGAAAAGCAAUUCUUGAAAAUAUUGCGUCUAUAAAUGGAAUAUAAAACGAAAUAUACAAUGAAUUCCGCCCAUUUUUUGAAAUUUAUUUCCCCUUCAUUUUUUUGUUUGUUGAGAAAAAUGUUUUUUUUAAUGUGGUGUCAUAUAUUGCAUGCCCAACUUACCGCAAAGUAUUUAGUCCAGUACUAGUUGUUAUUUGUGAUUUUUUUCUUUUUCACAGUUAUAUCAUCAUUAGUCGAUAUGAAAUAAAUAAGGUACUCGUAUAUUUCAAGGCAAACAUUUGUUAGGAAGACGACAUGAUGCCUUGGACUUGUUCAAGGCAGAGGACACAAAUUAUCUAAAAUAUAACGCCUUGUUGUGAGGGUGUAGUAUUCUAAAGGACUUUCGGCGGAAUUGACCGGUUUACAGGGGAUACUUACUCCUAAGGCACCAGAUCCCGCCUCUUGUGUGUCCAGUGGUCCGUGUUUGACCUACUCUUAAUUUUGUAUUCUUUAGUACUAUGGGAUUUACGAUCGAUCACUUCGUUAUCUUCACUUUUCAUUUAUAUGAAUUAAUUCAGCAAUGAAAGCAGGAAGUCACUUGCAAUUUUUGGUUAAAGCUUUCUGACUUUAACAAGUCCAUAACAACAAGUCAUCCGGAAUUUUACAGCGUGUAGAAAGUUGACAUGGACAAAUCACAUUAAGGAACAACUUGUCAAAAAUACCUUGGUGAUAAAUUGUAAUUUAUUGCAUCAAAUUGCCAUUGAAAUGUCGUCAAAAUGUAAUAGAAGUACAUGUGUAUAUAAUACGAUAUGCGAUAACUCGACGCGACAAAUUACAGAACAACACAUCAACACGAGGUGGAUGAUUUGACUGGAAUACUAGUAAGCUUCCGUAAGAUACAGUUAUAGUUAAUAAAUACCUCAAAAUAAACUUGCUACAAAUCAAAUUGGGUAAAGAAUAUCCAAAUGUGUAUAGAUGAGGACUCGUGCUCCAUUUCAAGGAGAGAUAAUUCAAAAUAGUGAAAACAGGAAGGAGUAUUAAUAAAUCAAUAUUCUCGAGAACCACUGAAUCAGAAUAGCCCAAAUUUGGAUUAAAGCUUCAAUACAUGAGAAGAAAAAAUCCCUUGCUUUGGCCUUCAAGUCGACAUUUAGAUAUAUCGACGACGUUUUAUCUAUUAACAAUAAUAAUUUUCAUUCAUAUGUCGAUUCGAUAUAUCCAUGUGAACUCGAAACAAGACACCACAGAGUCGUCCAUUUCUGCUUCAUACUUAGAUAUUUUAUUGAAAGUAGAUAUUAACGGCAAAAUAACAACUCAACAUUAUGACAAACAGGGUGAUUUCAGCUUCUUCAACUUCCCAUAUUUAUGUAGCAAUAUUCCAUUAUCACCUGCAUAUGGUGUUUAUAUAUCUUAACUGAUUCGAUACGCAAGAGCUUGUUCUGCGUAUGGUCAGUUUUAAAUCGGGACAGGCUACUGACAAACAAGUUGAUGGUGUAGGGGUUUCAACAGUCUCGUUUAAUAAAGUCAGCAUUUCACAAAUUCUAUGGUCGUUAUAACGAUCUAGUUUGCCAAUACAACCUUUCAUUCGGUAAAAUGCUUUCUGGCAUGUUUCAUACCAAUUGUUAGGCCGUUCUUGGCACACUGAUUUUGACUACGGAUAACUCCGUUUACCUGAUCAAGGUAUAGUGCUCACGGCGGGGGUGACCGAUCGACAGGGGAUGCUUACUCCUCCUAGGCACCUGAUCCCACCUCUGGUGUGUCCAGCGAUCCGUGUUUUCCCAACUCUCUACUUUGUAUUGCUUAUAGGAGUAAUGGGAUUGAUUGCUGUUCAUUAUCUUCAUUUUUCAUAAGGAAGUCCAAGUCUGUUCAAAGCAUGUAUGACGUACCGAAAUCAAACAGGGGUUCAAAGUUUUAUUCAGGGAUAUAUCGGGAAACUCUUUGAAUAUCUUCUUCUCAAGUAAUGUACGGCAUGGGUAAAAUAUGACAAAUUGAUAUGCAAGUAUCUCAAUGUAGUGUAGAUUCAAGUGUGUUUGGGGCCACAGUAGGAGCUGAAAUUUUGACAUAGGAGUAUAUAGGAAAUUCUUUUUAAAGCAAUACAUGUUGUAAUUUUUUCAACAAUCCAAUUAUGUACCAAAUAGCACCUAUCGAUAUAACUAAUAUAAUCCCCAAGAUCUGAAGAAAAAAUCAGCAAAAUAAACAAGGGAAUAUUGUUUAAGAGUAUACCUACAAUAAGCGUUUCGUAUAAACUGCCAUUGCGUCGUAUACACAGACAUGGGAACGAUGGUUGCCGAACAUAAUCGGGUUGCUGAGACCGAGGUCAUAAACAAAGACGGAAACUGACGCGAGUACAUAUAUAUAUAACUACACGUUUCGUUUGUUUUUAAAUAUUACAUCGUUUCAUGAAUGACAAGAAGUAUCAUAAGUGUAAGAAAGUAAUAAUUACGCAAAUGUUCCACUCAAAUAAAAUUGUGAUAGUGAAUUUUCUACGAAAUUGGCAUGUUAAAUUGUUUACAAAUCUGACACGUGCUCAGUGCCUCUCGCUCGCUUUUUUCCGAACUGGUGACCUCCAAGGUCAAUGCACAUGGGAGAUUACUGACAGGAUGACAAUGAUUCAUGAAUCCACGUUUUUUGCUGAUUUGACGGGAUUAUUGCUUCAGAUUCACUCCGAUUCUAUAAGUUAUAUACAUGUUGAAUAUUUGUUUUAUUUUUCAAUUUAUUUACCGUCAGUUACAGCUUGUAUUGCUUUGAAUUAUUUUUCUCGAGAAUCUCAAGGAUACAAUAUGGCAAAUGAAUGUACGUGCAUUCUUAUGUAGUGGCCAACACCGUCCGUAUAAAAACUGGGUCAUAAGAUGGGGUUAAAGUUUUACAGGGGAAUAUAUAGGAAAGUUCUUUUUAAAAUCUGAUCAGUUACAAUAGAUCAAGUUGAUAUGUAAACGUGUUCACAUGGUGUACGUAUAUUAAUAUUUUGUUCACAACACCAUGCAUCAGCAUUCUCUCACCAGAGGGCGCGUAAUGCAAGCUUCACAUACACGGAACUCUGGGUAGAGAAUGCAUGCAUCAACCCCUUUGUGGCCAGAGUGGGAUGACAGGGAGAGGGGUAAUUUCCCCCAGUGAAAUGUAAAGAAAACUUGUUAUUAUUCUCAAAAGCCACAAGGAUAAUUAUGUACAGUAUAUCAAUUUACUGGUAAUAACGCACGCAGACUUCUUAUAUAGUGCAAACUCAAGUGAGGUGGUUUUUUUCACGCCAAUAACUCCCAGGGCCAGCAUAGUGUUAUGAUUAUAACUUAGAAUGUUUUGUAGGGGGGAAGAUGCAAUUAAUUAAUUGAGCGAUGCGGUCCAUGGGCCUCUUGCGGUUUUUUUCAUAAUAAUAAGAAGAAAAUACAUGGUUCUUACACAUGCAAUCGGAGCCUUGGCCUUUGACAUUUUUAUGUAGUUUAUGAGUGGCAAAUAAUUGCUCCUUUUUCCACACUUUUAUCGAUUUGCCAUAACAAAACUAAGUCAGUUACAACUAAAAGAACUGUUGAAUCCCGACUUAAUCACAAGACGUAAACGUCAUACUCCCCAGCUAUAAUAAUCCAUAAAUCUGCCACAAAAUUUGAGUGAAAUAUCUAGAGAUGUCGUGAAUGUUAUCCAAUAGAUUCUGUUAUGUCGUCGCUCGUUCUCUUACUUGUUUACAAAGUAUGCUGAAGAGCCAUAAGAAAUACCAAUACAACAGCUGUGAAGAAGGGGUGCGCGGGUUCAGAUUUUAUUACACUUAGCUCACGCAUGCGUGCAUAUGCAUUAUGUUGUAAGCAAGAUAUUAAUGCCACUCUCUUCAUUCGAUAAUAAUUGAUAAAGAAUAUCACAUUAUCCAGUCAUACUGUGUAUUCCCUGUAUGAAGCGAAAAUUUCGAGCUGUACUUAGAAUGACCUUCAGAAAUAGCGGCGAGAAUUCUAAUAUUGCGAGAGAAACUUGAAUCGAAUCAACGAGAACAUGAAAUAAUCAAUCUACACCAUACGGCCAGUCUUUUCGUGCGUUUCAAAUUACACAUAUUAUCCAAAUAUGUAUUCAAGUUUUUGUGUCAAACAUAGUUUCGUAUGAAUUGAAUCGAUUUAAGCUGUGAAAGCUGUUAACUUGUCGCAUGCAUGUAUUUAUAAGGUUUGCCUUUCAAUAUCAUAACUGUUUUGACCAGAACUAUUUUGUUUUGAAUCAGCGUUUACUUUUUAUUUCUUAUAUUUACUUUCUAUUUUCAUUUCUGUCGAAAUUCCCAGUCGUUAAGAUAGACGUACUAUAUUUAUAUGUAUUCAUAUUAUAUGUAUUCAUACGCGCAUUAUUUUACAACUACCACGCAUUUAUGAGGAAAUGGCUGUCAUUACAAAUACAUUGGAAAUGUAAGUAUAAACAAAUGCACAUGUCACUCGGCCAUCUGUAAUGUAUAGUCAAGUGACAGUCACAUGAUCAUCUCAGAUAUCAACGAACAUGGCUACUGCAUGAAGUAAGAACACUGUUGUGAUAAAGACAACACCAACUUGUGUUAAGUGGUUUAUUUUGCUUAAACCGUCAACAAACUCGGAUGACGAUCUUUUCUCUUUUUCGACUUCGUGCUUCACAAUAAGUCACCAACAAACGUAUUUAGGGUGUUACCUCACUAUAUUUAUUUUAUGAAUAAUUACUCAAUUUUCUUUUCAAUAUAAAUGUUUUAGGCAUACUAUUCAGGAAAGUUGAUAAUUCUUAAAAUCAAUUCAGCUGCAUUGAUAAUCUUUAUACAAUCGCAGGUCACAGGUGACACAGCUGUAGGUAGUUGAAGACGAAUCACGUACUGUUAAAAUUAGUUAUUUAUCAAAAGAAAAGACUACAAAUUAUUAUUUUCAAUGUUUCAUUGUAUAUGAACUACGGGUGUACGUAAUUCAAAUCAUACCUAAAACCUUAUACUGCUUGUGCAUAACAGAUAAUAGACAGAAAAUGUCUAGGUUCUUUCUUUAAGUGGGGGAGGGUGUUUAUUUGUUUUUGUCUCUUUUGUUUGUUUGUUUGUUUUAAUUGUUUUUUAUAUCUAUAUUUUGAAAAUGCAGAGUUAUUUACCUAUAAUGUACCGUUUGCAAUAUGUCGCAGCUUACAUUUGGAUUUGUACUUACCUUUGUAACGCGCCCUAGAGUAAUUUGUUUUAUAUAAGGCGCUGUAUAAAUUUUAUUCAUUAUUAUUAUUUAUUUGGGGAUAAAAUAACCAAAAUAAAAAUAACUUCCCUCUGCAUGAUCUUACCGGAGUUGUUACAUAAAGAUAGAUUUUCCUUUUCACAUAUAACAUACGACCUUUUUCUUUUCUGGUUUCUUCUUCUUCAUUUCUUUGUGUGUGUGUGUGUGUGUGUGUGUGUUAUUCUUUAAAAAAAAACAUUUAUUGUAACAUGAAAGCUAUAUAUAGAUAUAGGUUUUCCUGAUACACUCGCUAAAUUUUGGUGUUUCUACCAGGAUCCUUGAUUUUUACUAGCACCUUGUCUUCGAGAAUUAGAUAACAGUUCUUUGGUUGGUCAAUUAUAUUGCCCGUCCUCGAUCUGUACAAAAAGAAAGGAAAACUUCAUAAUCCCGUAUAUGUCAUGUUCAUUUCGCGGUGUUUCUCAGAGAGUUUAUUAAAAUUUAUUAUUCCAGUCUUUUCUUCGUAAAGUAGAUUCUCUCUCUCUCUCUCUCUCUCUCUCUCUCUCUCUCUCUCUCUCUCUCUCUCUCUCUCUCUCUGUGUGUGUGUGUGUGUGUGUGUGUGUGUGUGUGUGUGCGUGCGUGCGUGCGCGCGCGUGUGUGUGCAAACAGUACUAUGUGUAGGUUAAUUUUUUCCAUUGAUAACUGUAUACGAUUGGGCGUGGCCUAUUUCAACACUGGAGGUACAUGUUAUGAUAAAGAAAAUUUAUCAUUGGUUUUCAAGUCUGAGACUUCAGAAACUGAUGAUCGCAUAUUAGACUUUUUAAAACGUCAAAUUCCCUUUUAAUUGCGCACAGUGGCAUGGUAUAGUACAAAUACUCCAAUGACUGUCGUUUUGACAUGAUGCCAAGCAUGUUUUCUGUUUUGUUUUUUAAAAAAACCCAUAUGAUUACGAAAUAUACUGGUAUGGAAAAUUUAUAUCUAACAAAAGAUUGAUUCCGCAAAUAUGUUAUGAAAUUAUAAAGAUCGGUUAUUUUUUUUAUUACUCGAAAAAAGAGAUAAAAAGAUCGAGUUAUUCAAGGUUAAAUUAAAUUGGACUGUACAGAAAUUGUCAAUUCGUGCCUCAAUCAAAUUUAUGUACGGCCGCUAAUGAUUUAAAAGAUUUCUCAGAUAACUUUUGUGUGGACAUGUAAAUAAUCAUUUUAAUAACACUCAACAGAUAAUGGGUUCAAUGCCUCAGUCCGCCAUGAUUUUUAUCUGUUUAAAGCAAACACCUGUUAAUAAAAUCUGUUAUAGAAUGUGUCCUUCAAUGAAUGCUGUUUCAUUCUCAGAUAAUUUAGUUACCAACGACAUCCGCUGGCCCUCUCUUUAGCACAAUAAGAUAUCCCGUUAUUUGAUCAACCACACAGGGAUUUUUUUAAAAGAAUAAUACAUUUUGUCUGUAUAGAAUGACUUUUUUUUAGUUAUAUACCGAAUUUUGAUGGUGUAACUGAUCGCAUUUUCCGCCUUUAAUAAUGUUAUCCUAGAAGUCAAUUUUAUCAUAUAUAAAAAAAAUAUCGUCCCAUUAGCCAUUGUUUAUAGACCUUCGACUGACAGUUAUACACAGGGCAUUAACAUAACGUCCUAUUGUGUGUGUGUGUGUUUGUUUGUGUUUUGAAAUGUAGUUUUCAGUAUGAAGUACACAAAUCACACCGUUAAAAAAGGGAAUUUUAAUUUUAAAAUAAUUACAAGGUAUAUUCAGAUAUCAAAAUGCGGGUUUUGUGCACAGUGAUACUAUUGUACAAGUGUCUGUGUGUUUUAUAAAUCUCAUAUUUUGUGAAAAUAUGUUGCUUCAUUUGUUUAAACACAAAUUACCUCCAAACCAUCCCAUCCCCACUCACCCAACCACCCACCCCCAAACCAAAUUUGCCUUGCUUUUCAAUCACCUAUGAAUUCAGUUUUGACGAGGAGUAAACUGUCUACAUGUUUCACCAUAACAUUAAUAGCUUUAACCCCACUUUAUUUGAAAUUAAAAAAAAGAAGAAAGAAAGAAACAAAAUCAUUGAUGGAACAAGGAUAAUCUGAAUGUCUGAACUCAAAAAUGUUGUGCUUUGUUUGUACUUGAAUGACAUUUAGUAAAGAAGAUUAAUUGAAACACGAAAUAGGAAACUAAUUUUCAGGACAGAUAAAUUUUAUUCCCGCCACAUUGUCUCAGUACAUCUUAUGAUGUGGGACCCCGCGGGAAAUGUUAAACAGUUGGAGGACUUCUGAACAUCGUGUAGAAAUCGCUCUAUUGCAGGGAUAUCGCCAUGACAUCACAAUUAAAUAUUCUGGAAAAUUAAACACCCCCCUGUCUAUCGCAAAAAGUUAUAGCUUAUGGGGCGAAAUGUUCAGCAUUUAAUACCAAAAACUGGUGACAUUUCCUGCAUGGGAUAAGAUCGACUGUUUAUUUUGUUUUACUUGUAGGCAAAAAGAAUUUGUAAUGUAUUGUACAUACAUAGCUCUCUUACGGUCUCUCUCUCUCUCUCUCUCUCUCUCUCUCUCUCUCUCUCUCUCUCUCUCUCUCUGUGUGUGUGUGUGUGUGUGUGUGCAGUUCUGUCCAGGUUAUGACUUGUGAAGGGGAAAAGUCAGGCGCUCUUUUCGCUAAAGGUUGAUAUGACCUGGGGUGGGUCAUUACUACAAGGUCAACGUCAGUGAUAGUGUAAAUUUCUUGUGUAAUUUUUAAUAAAAUGUUUAGGUAAUCAUACUUGACAUAAAGGUCGCUUAUUACAUGAGAUUUCAUGUAGGAAUUCUGGUCCAAGACCAUUUGUACAAUGCCAAGAUCACUAGUUACUUUUUUUUGUAUAUCGAGACGUCACCAGCUGUAGUUGAGGUGCCCUAUGCAUGUCGUCCAGGGUCCUAGCAGCGAGGAAUCUUUGUUGUGUUGACUCCUGUCGUAACACGGAACCUUGGUUUUUCAUCCGAAAGACCCACAACUUUCACUUCUAAAUGCUGCGCGCGUUUGGAGAACUUGGGGGCGUGUUUGACAGCGUAAGUCUACUGCUUAUCAUCCCGAGUCUUCGGGGACGCUUGAACAUUUUCAUCAAACCCUUGAAACAUUGAUGAAGACAUAUUUAUAAAUAUGAUAAAGACUGGGAUGAAGGGGUUCACCUUGUUUUAUUUGCUGCAAGAAAAGCAGUUCAGGAGUCUCUUGGAUUCAGGCCCUUUGAAUUAGUGUUUGGCCAUACAGUUAGAGGUCUUGUGACAUUGCUGAAGGAAAAGUGGCUGCCUGAAACUAGUGCUAUUAACCGUUUAGACCAUUAUCUUACCGGUAUUUCAAAGAGAGACUUUACAAUGCUUGCAAAUUGGCAAAAGCAAAUUUCAAGAGUUCUCAAGCCAAAACGAAAGUUUGGUAUGACAAAGAUAGAUGCCAGGAACAGAGUUUUUAUACCAGGUGAUGAGGUUCUUGUAUUUUUACCUGUUCCUGAUUGUCCUUUACAGGCCAGGUAAUAUGGUCCUUCUGAAAUUCAAAGCAAGCUUAGUGAUGUGAACUAUGUAGUUAAGACACCUAGCUGGCGUAAAGAAAAACAAGAUUGUCACAUUAACAUGUUGAAAGACGUGACCGAAAUCCUGUAAAAUCAGUUUCCACUUUGGCCAACGUUAAGACUUUUCAAGAUUGUACUGAAACUGAUAUUAGUGUAGAAACUAGUGAACAAGAUUUCAAUCAGAAAGUAUGUUUAAGAACUCCGAAAUUCUUGCCAAUCUUGAUGCCAAACUUGGACAGAGUGCCGUUCAUGUUGGACAAUGGCAUCAUUGAGCCAAGUAAAAGUGAUUGGAGCUCACCUUGCAUUCCAGUACCGAAACGUGAUGGUUCCUACCGAUUGUGUACUGACUUCAGUCACGAAAACAGACUUAUAUUCAAUUCCCAGAAUAGAUGACUGUAUUGACAUACAGUAAUUGGAAAUUCAAACUUUUUCAGUAAAUUUGACCUGCUGAAAGGCCACUGGCAAGUACCAUUAACUGAAAAAGCUAAAGAAUCUGUGACUCCCGAUGGGCUGUUUCAAAAGAAAGUGAUGCCUUUUGGCAUGAAAAAUGCUCUAGCGACCUUUCAGAGGAUGAUUUAUUCUCUUCUUCAUGACCUUUAAGGAUGUGAAGCCUACAUUGAUGGUGCUAUUAUUUACAGCAACACAGGGGAUGGACGUCUUUAAAUCAAUAGUGCAUUCUUCGACAUUCUGGUUAAAGCAAACUUAACAGUGAACCUUGCGAAGAAUGAUUUUUGUCAUGUUAUUGUAGAAUAUCUAGGUCAUAAAAUAUAGGUCAAGGUUUUUCUAAGCAGUUUAAACUUACUGCUGAAGCAAGCAAUGUAGGAGUUAAUGCUGCUUUGUUUCAAUAAUAUAGUGAAUGUAGGUAGAAUUGUUUCUUAUUUUUCAAUGAAACUUACAAAUUGUCUAAAAAAUUAUUCUACCUUUGAAAAAGAGUACCUUGCUUUGUUGUUAGCUUUACAACAUUUUGAUGUUUAUUUUUAAAAUGUACUGUGCAUCCAAUUCUUAUUUUUACGAAUCACAACUCAUUCACGUUUUUGAAUAAGAAACAAGGAAUCAAAA